rnacentral:rRNA from 1 species
UGCCAGCCGCCGCGGUAAUACGUAGGCAGCGAGCGUUGUUCGGAGUUACUGGGCGUAAAGGGUGUGUAGGCGGUUGUUUAAGUUUGGUGUGAAAUCUCCCGGCUCAACUGGGAGGGUGCGCCGAAUACUGAGCGACUAGAGUGCGGGAGAGGAAAGUGGAAUUCCUGGUGUAGCGGUGAAAUGCGUAGAUAUCAGGAGGAACACCGGUGGUGUAGACGGCUUUCUGGACCGUAACUGACGCUGAGACACGAAAGCGUGGGUAGCAAACAGGAUUAGAUA